AUACGUAGGUGGCAAGCGUUGUCCGGAAUUAUUGGGCGUAAAGAGCGCGCAGGUGGUUGUUUAAGUCUGAUGUGAAAGCCCCCGGCUUAACCGGGGAGGGUCAUUGGAAACUGGGCAACUUGAGUGCAGAAGAGGGAAGUGGAAUUCCAUGUGUAGCGGUGAAAUGCGUAGAGAUAUGGAGGAACACCAGUGGCGAAGGCGGCUUCCUGGUCUGUUACUGACACUGAGGCGCGAAAGCGUGGGGAGCGAACAGGAUUAGAUACCCUGGUAGUCCACGCCGUAAACGAUGAGUGCUAAGUGUUGGGUGUCAAAGCUCAGUGCUGAAGUUAACGCAUUAAGCACUCCGCCUGGGGAGUACGGUCGCAAGACUGAA
rnacentral:rRNA from 1 species